CCUACGGGUGGCAGCAGUGGGGAAUAUUGGACAAUGGGGGGAACCCUGAUCCAGCCAUGCCGCGUGUGUGAAGAAGGCCCUCGGGUUGUAAAGCACUUUCAGUGAGGAAGAACGCCUUGUGGUUAAUACCCAUCAGGAAAGACAUCACUCACAGAAGAAGCACCGGCUAACUCCGUGCCAGCAGCCGCGGUAAUACGGAGGGUGCGAGCGUUAAUCGGAAUUACUGGGCGUAAAGCGCGCGUAGGUGGCUUGAUAAGCCGGUUGUGAAAGCCCCGGGCUCAACCUGGGAACGGCAUCCGGAACUGGCAAGCUAGAGUGCAGGAGAGGAAGGUAGAAUUCCCGGUGUAGCGGUGAAAUGCGUAGAGAUCGGGAGGAAUACCAGUGGCGAAGGCGGCCUUCUGGACUGACACUGACACUGAGGUGCGAAAGCGUGGGUAGCAAACAGGAUUAGAUACCCGAGUAGUC
rnacentral:rRNA from 1 species